GCUUCUGGCCUCUGCCCUCUCCCCCCACCCUGGAGGGCAGACAGAAGCACUCCUAUUUUGUUCUUGUCUCUCACCUGUCCGGGACAGACUCCAUCCUGUGCUACAAUGAGAGCUACACCAUUGUGAACGGGGUCACAUUAGGCUUUGACUUCCAGGAGCAAUGCACCAAGAAGGCUGCCAAGGACUUCUCCCAGUACUACUACGUGGACGAGGUGGAUGGGACGCUGGCCUGUGUGACCAGGUGCACCCCAGGCACCAAGUCGCAGCUCAAUUGCAACGAGGGCCAGUGCCGGCUGCAGCGUAGCGGCCCCCGCUGUGUGUGCUCCAACACAGACAGCCACUGGUACUGGGGGGAGACCUGUGAACACAGCACCAACAAGAAGCUCGUGUACGGGAUAGUGGGGGCCGUGCUGGCCGUGCUGGCAGUCCUUGUGGUGGUCCUUGUGUUCCUCCUCGGCCGAUCGCAGAGGAAGUUGCAUAG